UACAGAGGUCCCGAGCGUUGUUCGGAUUUAUUGGGCGUAAAGGGCGCGUAGGCGGCCUCUUAAGUCGAACGUGAAAUCCCCGGGCUCAACCCGGGAACUGCGUCCGAUACUGGGGGGCUUGAAUCCGGGAGAGGGAUGUGGAAUUCCAGGUGUAGCGGUGAAAUGCGUAGAUAUCUGGAGGAACACCGGUGGCGAAGGCGGCAUCCUGGACCGGUAUUGACGCUGAGGCGCGAAAGCCAGGGGAGCAAACGGG
rnacentral:rRNA from 1 species